rnacentral:lncRNA from 1 species
AAUUGGCGAGCAACUUCUCGCAGUUUGUCCAGAAAUGCACUUGUAAUUCCAUGAUUGAUUGCCUGAAACUCGCAAAAUAAUUCUCAGGUUUGAAGUUAACUAGUUUUACAAUCAUGAAAAUUUUUAAUGAUGAGCUGUUGAAUCCUCAAGAAAUUUGAGCUACUUUUAAAAUUGUAUGUUUAUUGGACUAAGUUGUCUUGGAGAGCUAUAUGCAGUGUAGUUAAAAUACAGUAAAAUCGACCAUGUUCUGAAAAUCAAGGAAUUUGAUAGUUAAAACUUUUUGUCCACAGAAAUUUGCCAAAAAUCAGACCUGAAUGCAACCGUAGGAGCUGAGAGCUGAUCUAAGUUUGUCAAGUUCAUCUCCACUGGUAGAUGAUGAAGAUGCAAGGAGUUGAAGAUCUAUAGUAGGAACAUCCAACACUGGGAAAGAGGCAUCAAG